GCAGAUUGCUCUGAGCGCAUCGGAAGGAGUGGAAGGAACGCAUUUAUUUCAACGAAUGCCUGCAAUCGCGUUCCUUGCUGGUUGCCGGCAUUCGCUGUUUAAAUCUGCUGGGACGGCUGCUUCUAGGUACAAGCCUUCAGACGGAACUGUCUGUAACAAGCAGUCCCACAUUUUUCUACAUGGAUUUGGCUUGCCAAGAUAUCUGCUUUUAUUAGCAGCAGUUGAUCUCCCUGUAAUGAGUUGCUGUGGCACAACUGAAGCGGGGAAGCUGCAGCGGAAGAGCAGCACCACACAGCCGGAGGUGGGAGAGCAGCUGAAGCUAACGUGGUGUUGUCCUGUGCCAGUAGUCCAGAGGACUUGUGGCUCAAAUGCCUUUCUUUUGGAGAAUUCUUUCUGUCUACGUUGAAGGAAAAAAAUACUGUGCGUAAGGAUAUCCUGAAGAUUUGGACAUAAACAUCUAACAUCUGAAGGACAACUGAUUGAAUUUUAGAAUAAUUAAUAAGCUACAUCUGGUGAGACAACAGAUGCUGGAACUACACCACAUGCAUGGAAGUGUGCCAAGCUGCACUGGCUAAGCCUGGAAGAGCCAUCUGGUGAGGUGGGCAAGUCUCCUGGGAGAAGGGUGAAUGGAAUCAAGUUUUCAGUAACCUCUCUUCGUUUUGCAGAAGCGAGGGGCUAACCAAGCACAGGUGAAGGAGACUUCCCUCUUGCAAGGUCAUAACUCACUGCUGAAAUAGUCUGGAGAAAUAUACAGCACAUUUCAGCUUAAACUGCAUGUCUAAUCUCUGUCAAUGUCUCUGAAAUUUUUGGUCCUCCUGUCCUCUCCUGUACCCCACAACUGUGUAACUUUCCUUUUCCUCUCUUUUUCCCAAUUCUGACCAGCUCUGUUCCAAAACAGCUGCCCGCUAAAGGAGGAAGACAGCCGUGUGCAGUUCUGACUUCAUGUUCUGCAAGAUAUACUGGAACAGGAAUGUAAAACACUCAGGUCUUGGCACAUGAAAAAAUACUUUUCUGUUACUAAUGUUGCAUAUGUAUUAUUUUCAGGGAAAAGCCUUGAUCCAGAGAGAAGCAUAGCAAGGAGAAUUAAAUCAUCCAGAAAACUUGAGGACGUGCACACAGUGCUGAGGCAAACUUAGUAAUGAACAGCUCACUGAAGAUGGAGAGACAUUUUCAGAAUGGCAGCUCACUGCAAUUAAUACUAGAGUUUUAGGAUUGAAUCAUGAGCUUUAUGACAGUGCUUCUUUUAUGCUCAAAACUCCAGUGCUGCUAGCGAGGAGCACAACCACAGUGAGAGACACAGGAGUAACAACUGCAUCAACGUGAUCAGCAUCUAUGUGACGCCUGCACUUCUGCUUACAGAUGCUUCAGAAUCCCAGAAGUGAUUAUCAGUUACAGCAACAUCAGAAUUGAAAUGACAAGGAAGUUCGGGUGGUAGAGAAAAAUCCUCAGAAUGUUAUAAAAGCAGCAUGAAAAAGAGUUGCAAUGCAGCUGUGAUAAUACUUCACAUUCAUAUUUGAAAUUUGCUUCCCAUUAUUACUCAAUGCUAUUGGAAAUUUAAUUUCCAUGAUUCAAGAACAGAUGGAAGCUGGACAGAUGAAAUUCUUAUUUAAUGCAAAUAACUAAAAGCAGGGGUAUAUAUCCACCGAGUAAUAAACCUCUAAAAUUAAAUGAGCCAAUAGCUCUCCCACAGCUGAGUUUUUAGAAGGCAUGUUAAAAUUACAGUCUCUAUUAUCUACAAUAUUAGAAGCAAGGUUAUCAGGCAUGGAUACUGCUCCCAGAAGCAGAAGACAGAAGCCUGUAAACUUCUAGUGCAAUUCCUCGUUCAUUCUUACAGUUUACCAGUGAAGUGACUGCCCCUUCAUGUAUGAGCACAUGAACUUACGUGUGCACCUGUCUAUACAGGAGCAAACGCAGCCUGUUUUGUUUUCAAAGAUCUACUGAACGAUCACUAAACAGGGUUGUACUCAAAUUGAAAUUUUGGUGGGCUGCUCAGUGACUUUUUAAUUUAACAGUGUAAAAACAGUUUCAAAGAAACCAAGCAGUAUUUUAAAAAAAUUCUAACAUUAAUUACUAUUAAAUACUAUUACACAUUCCUGUGACUGGUGUACAAAUUAGCAGCACAGUCACUGGAACAAGGAUUUUCUUUUUGACAGAAACGUAUCUGGUUGAUCCAGGUUUCAGUUGUGAUUUCCUUCCAUAUCAACCAUCUUGUCUUAAAAUGAACAGUUAGAGAUCUUAUAGAGUCAGCAAUAACAUAAGAAUUAUUUCAAGUUAGCCUUUUCCCAGAGAAGGAAAUGAGCAAAACUGACAGUAG